rnacentral:rRNA from 1 species
AGGACGAACGCUGGCGGCGUGCUUAACACAUGCAAGUCGAGCGGAAAGGCCCUUUCGGGGGUACUCGAGCGGCGAACGGGUGAGUAACACGUGAGUAACCUGCCCUUGGCUUUGGGAUAACCCUCGGAAACGGGGGCUAAUACCGAAUAUUCACUGCUCCUCGCAUGGGGGUGGUGGAAAGAUUUUUUGGCUGGGGAUGGGCUCGCGGCCUAUCAGCUUGUUGGUGGGGUGAUGGCCUACCAAGGCGACGACGGGUA